rnacentral:lncRNA from 1 species
CAUGCAUAUGGAGCAAGUGGGAUGGACGUUUUUGGUGUUUUAAAAAGGGUUUUAACACAUGCAAAAAUCUGAAUAAUGAAGUUGAAGUGUGGAAGUGUGCAGAUACAUACACUUAAGGAACAAUUUGAAAGGAAAAUAAGUGAAAGAUGCCAUUUGUUGGAUUGCUUUACAAGAUGUAUUCACAUUUUCAGCAACUACAAACAUAAUUGCAAGCUAAAAUGAUGCAUAGCAUGUGUGUAGAGUUGUAAAGUGGCCAAAAGUUGAUGUUUGCAAGAUGAAAUGAUGCAAAACAUGUGUGUGAAAGUUGUCUAACAGCUAGUACAUGUGGAAAAGGGAUGGAAUACAAGGCAAAUGCAUCAGAAAUUGAAGAAUGAAGGCACAUGGACAGCUACAAAGGAGUUGAAUUAGCAAAAAAGGAAUGAUUGCCUUUUGUUAAAGGCAAGACACAAUGAUAAAAGAGCAUGUAAACUAGCUGUUUUUGCAUCAUUUUGGUCUUUGUUUGUAUUGUUUAUUGAAGCCACUUGAGUGAUUCUUUGCUUUAGAGCUUCUAUAAAUAGGGAGUGAAGGGAAGAACACUAGACACGACACUACAUCAAAAACACAAUCAGCCACACCACCCAUUCUCCAUCCAUUCUUUUAGCCAAACCCAUCUACACAUUCAUACACUACGUCACAAACACAUUUUCAGCCAUCUUUCCCUCUUUUGUCAUACCCCCAUCCAUCCUAAACACCACCAUACCAUCUCCCAUCCAUUCCUCCAUACAUAUACCAUCCAAACCUGUCCCCAAAACCUUGUGCCGCAGCAAAGAGGAAGGAGGAGAAGCCUUGGACGUGCAUGCCAUUCAAGUUAGGAUCGUUGGAGCGUUUAGGUGUUUUCUUUCUUUUGAUUUCAAUGUUUAAAUUCUAUCCUCUUUAUUUUGUACGUAUGAAGAACUAAACCCCCCCCUUGGCUAGGGGGGGAUUCGAAACCAUGUUUAUGCUUGCUAUAUGAUUUGAUUGCUUUCAAUUGCGUUUCAUAAGUUGUGAAUUCAAUUUACUUAUCUACAUGAAUUAAAACUGAUUUGUGUGUGUUGGUUGAGAUUGCACGCUUAAUUUUCAUGCAUAAGUUUGAUGCUAGGAUAUAAGGGAAUUUCACCUAAUCGUUAUUAACUUAUAUUCAAAAGUAGUAAAGGUUGUUGAUCACAAUCGUGUUAAGUAAAUUCUUGGCAGAAGUUUCAUGCAAUUCAUAGUAACGAGUGCCUCGCUAGUGCUUAUGAUUUUCAUAAAACUUAAUGAUCUUUGCUUGUAUCUUUGUUAUGCAAUUCAUGCAGGGAACUUGUGAGGAAUGCUUUGGGUUGUCGUAUGCAAUUCAUCCAAUUCAAUAACUUUAGGAAAAUCUGAGGGUUAAUUAGUGCAAUUCACGGUUAAUUUGGGGCGUUGGGAAUUCAUGGUUUAUUGAGAAGCAAUUGGAAAUCGUUUUGUAUGCAAGUGUGACAUGUGUGGAGAAGAA